rnacentral:rRNA from 1 species
CCCUUAGAUGUUCUGGGCUGCACGCGCGCUACAAUGGCGUUUUCAAAAAGAUUGCUAAUCCGAAAGGACCAGCGGAUCUUCGAAGCGGCGUCGUGAUCGGGACAGUUGAUUGCAAUUAUUCGACUCGAACGAGGAAUUCCUUGUAAUCGUGCGUCAUCAGCGCACGCUGAAUACGUCCCUGUUCUUUGUACACACCGCCCGUCGCUCCUACCGAUCGAGCGAUCCAAUGAAUGUUUCGGAGCGGAACUGAGAUGCUAAUGCGUCUCUUUUACGCGAAUUUGUGUGAAUUUGAUCGCUUAGAGGAAGGAGAAGUCGUAACA